GAACCGACUGGCAAUCGUAGCUCUCAAAAGCUUCUGUCGAACUCUAACCCUGUAGAUGAACUCUAACCUUUGUCAAUGACUUGUCCAUUAGAUAAGGGAUCAUAUAUUCCUCCAUUCUAGAUAUCAUAUGGACUGAGACAUGGAUUAUAAUCAUUCUCUCUGUCCAUUUGUUGUUUCUUGGUUUCCGAUUUAUGAUGACUGACUAAUUGAACUAAUCAAAUCAGUCCUGGCCCGACCGAGCACUUCCAUUUGUCAUCAUCAAAUCAUCGAGGGGCCCACAGAUAUCGCUUUUAUCCCGAAGGUAAAAGGAAUGGAUAAACUUCGACUCAUAUGGCUUGUUCUACUACUUGUUGAAUCAUACACAAAGGCACGUUUUAUAGCACCGAGUUACCAAAUGCGUUUUCGUGCAAUCAAUGUACUAUCAACUCAUAGUAACAACUCAUAUCUCUAGGUUUGAAGAAUAUAAGAUAUUAUCGUCUCAUGAUCACUCGUGAUAAAAUCCAUGAAGUGAUUCCAAUGAGCGCGGGUUGAAUCCAAUACUCAGAACUUAUGAGCACUCAUGAGUGUUGUAGCCCUUUGUCCAACACCUUAGACCUCUACAAGCCAACCCAUGACAGUCUUAAUUCAUAUCUACUUCCAACAUAUGACCGACUGUGGAUGGUUUGAAUAACUUAGUCAUUCCGGAAGAAUAACCCAGUUUAUUCAGGAAGUCAAAACAUGCAAAGUGAAACACAAUAAUAAUUGAAUCCAAUAUGGUAUCAAAACCUAUGAACAUAAAUAAAACACCUUUUAUUUAUCACCAUAUGAUUACACAUUAUUCAUUGUAUAUUGUGUCAGCUAUCAACUUUAUUCUUGAAUUUAAAACAAUAGUUGUCCCAUGCUCCAAGCACGUACACUAUGUUUUCUAAACACUAGUCAUGCCAUCCACCAAGUAUGCAUACUAUGUUUUUCUAUGAUAUUUACUUUUUAAAAUAGAUCAAUUGAACAUAACUCCAAUAAUCCUCUCUUCACAUUUCCAAAACCUUACUGCAAAUGCAAGAAUUCCAAAUUCAUGCCAUUUACUGAAAUCUGUUAGAUUCUAAACUUAUAUGCAUUGAUCCUCUUGUAAUGAUUAUGCACAAAGUCACAAAGACUUGACAACAACCAUUACAGAGCAUUCCGAAAGAGAUCAGCUCCUUGGAAACAUCCUUCUUGCAUUAAGUUUCCAAAUAUUACAUAGAUUGAAUAAUUUCUAACUUUGAAACAUUUCCAGAUUCCAUUUUGACUAUCACUUCUGAACAAGAGUUGCCUCCUUAUAGAUGAUGUCAAUAUGGUCCUUCUAGAAUUAUCACUAUACUUCCAACUGUCCUUGAGCAACAAAUCUUUGGUAAACCUUAGAUUGUCCUCGACAAUUGUUUAAUCCUUUUAGUCAUAUCAAAUUCGAGACCUUUUCCCUUCUUAAUGCCCCAAGGAUUUGGAAAAUUUUAGAAAGGAUGAAUAUAGCACAUGUAAUCGAUCCUAUAUCUGAAGCAUAUGGGACACGAUUCAUGAUGUCUCAGAUAAAGCCUAAACUAGUCUUUUGCUAUAAUAUUUCCAUUUCAAUUUGCCAAGUUCUCAUAAUUCAGAUUAGAAAAAGGGAUGUCGUAAUCAUAAUUGAAUUUUAAAAACGCAAAUAAUGGAUCCAUAUAUAGAAUUUUUCUUAUGUUGAGCCAUUCCAACAUGAAAUUCCUAUAUAUGUCCUUGACUAAAUAUGAUUAAAACCUCAACCUAAGCUUUUAGAUUUCAAAUGAAGUAUAAUUUCCUCUCCCUUAGUUAUAGGAAAACAACUUUUUCCCAAUUGAAACUUUUGUUUUCUAUAAUUAACAUUGCUAACUUGCAAUACUUAUCAUAAUUAUCAUGCUCCCACUAACAUGAUGAUUAUUAGCAUAACACUUAUGCUCCCACUAGCUUUGACAUGUACUCAGAAAUCAGCUGGACUUCUAGGAAUCAAUACUUUAUUGACUUUCUUACCAAAGUUCAGAUUUCUGAUACUAGAUUGCUUUGAUAAAAUUUUAUCGUUAUAAAGUUCCCUAGGAACUAGGCUGGACAUGAGUAUAGCCUACCAUCCACAUACCGACGAGCAAAGUGAGAGAAUUAUCCAAACCUUGGAAGAUAUGUUGCGAGCAUGUGUGGUCAACUUUGGGAAAGCAUGGGAUACUCAUUUACCCCUUGUCGAAUUUUCCUACAACAACAAUUAUCACAUGAGCAUAAAGGCUGCUCCAUUCGAGGCCCUCUAUGGUCGAAAGUGCAGAUCCCUUCUAUGUUGGGCUGAGGUGGGUGAUACCCAGAGUUAGCUAAAGGAUGAGUUCCUAACAGCACUCUCACAGGUCCGGAGAUCAUAUGGGAAACGACGGAGAAAGUCGUUCAGAUGCGUGAGCGAUUGAAACCCUCUAGAGACCGACAUAAAAGCUACACUGAUAAACGUACGAAACCGUUGCAAUUCUAGGUGGUGACCGUCUUCUAUUGAAGGUCUCACCCUGGAAGGUCUGUCCGACGAGACUCUUGUAAUCCCCCUCGACGAGAUCGAGAUCAACGAGAGCCUCAACUUCGUGUAAGAACCAGUGGAGAUCAUGGACCAGGUUCCCUAGAAAGCAAACGAAACAAAGCCGUAUCCCGAUAGUGAAGGUUUGCUGGAACGCCAAGCGAGGACCUGAAUUCACUUGGGAGUGUGAGAAUCAGAUGAAACUGAAAUAUACUCGUCUUUUUACUUAGUUAUUUGUAACUACUUAUUUGCUUAAACUCUAAUUUCGGGACGAAAUUCCUUCUAAGGAGGGGAUGAUGUGACAACCUGAAAUUUCUAUUCUUUACGACAUUUCCAUUCAAUAGAAGUCAGAACAGUACUAUUAAUUUUCAGACUUUUUAGAAGAAGUUUGAGUAUUUUAGGAUUAACAAUUUACGAGAGAUCAGGAGAGAGGAUGCCCUAGACUUUAUUGUGCAACAAUAAAGUCCCGACACAUCAAAAUAUAGGAGUUUACGGCCUAAACAAUGGUGUUUACGGCCGUAAACUCCAAGGAAUGGGGUAUAUAAGUGACACUUAGUCAUUUAUAUCAUUUUCCACCUUUUCAAGAACAAACCUCAAACUCUCUCAAGUAUCAUCAAAGUUUUCNAUCAAAGUUUCUUCAAGAUCUUCAAUCUAGUAAGUGUUUCUAGCCCUUUCUAGUUAGUAUAUCACCUAAUCUAGUGUUUUAACACACGUCCAUCCGUGAAAAUGUUCCAAAAGGUUGUUCUUCAAGUUUCACCAAGAACACACACUAGUGUUCUUGGACUUUUGGCUCAUUUCAAGCUUCUAUAUUGUAAGUACUUCUGUCCUAGAGUAUCAUAGAGCUUAUUAUACUUCCAUAUAUCAAGAAAACACAAAGAAACACUAAGAUCAAAGUUGUUUACGGUCCAUGAACUCCGUGAACCGUAAACCCUUCUUAAGGGGAAAAAGUGACCCUAGUCCCUUCCUUCCCUUGGGAAACUAGUCUAGACACAUUCCUUAAUGUGUAUAGGACUUGAAAACAUCAAAAUACCAUGAUCCAUGAGGGUUUACGACCGUAAACCCUAAGGAAAAUGGUCUUAGGGUCGUAAACUCCUCAAAGGAGGGAAAUGGUGCCCUAACUUCUUCCUUAGGCUUAUACAUCAAGUAGAAAUGCUUCUAGGCAAUUAUAAACCUUCAAAUCAAGAAAUGGACAAAGGAGUAUGAGCUUACGAACGUAAACUCAUGGGUUUACGACCGUAAACUCAAUGAGUUGAGGUCACAAUACCGUAAACACAAGAAAGGGGUUCUUUUGAACCCUAAACCCAAUAGCUUUGUCCUACAACACUUAGAUGCAAUCCUGGGACUUAUAACACUUAUAUAAAGUGUUUAACUUGUCUUAGGAUGUUAUAACUUUGUAAAUUAGUUGUUUAAAGACUAAUUGGAUACAUAUAUGUGCGUUUAUAUGUUAACUAGGAUCAUUGUGUGUGUAUAAGUCUUCACUUGACACCUAACAAUCCUAUAUCUUCAGUUCAUCCAAAUCGCUCACUACAGGUGAGUUCAUACCCCUUAAAUUGACCUUUUAAUGUUUUUAAAUUCUUUUAUGGGGGGAUACAAGUUGAAUACUUAUAGUUAUUAUAUCAAUCACAUGUGAUUAAUAGCUACCAAACAAGUGGUUUUCUUACUUUUCAAACUGUGUUAUCAAACUGUUUUGCUUCAAACUAUUUUACAAACUCCUCUGUUGUCAAAUAAUUUAACUUCAACUCUUUUCAUACUUUUAUAUUUUCAAACACAUGCCUUUGUAUGUAUAGUUAUAUAAGUAAUUUUUAAAGGAUUUAGGAUGGCUAGCUCGCAUUAUCUCCUUUUCCUUGUUAAGAUGUGGCGUUAGGGCAUCGGGUAUCCGUCCGAAGGUCGUCUAAAUAUUAGUUAUAUAUUAUGUAUACAUAUAUAGACAUAAAAGUUCCACCAUCCAAUUCAAUACUCUUGAGUAGCAAGGGUAUACAUUGAUGAUCAUUAUGUACAAGUCAUAUUACUAGUAAACUACGAUAGGCAUAGUUUAGGAAGAUACUAAUGCUAUUACAAGAACGAAGAAUCAUACAAUUAGUCGGUUCAUUCAUGAGUUAAUACUUGCUAGAUAGAGAGAGAGCACAAUACAGCUAGUACACACAGUAAAUUACUAUACAUGCUAGAUAGAGAAAUAACACACAUUACAGCUAGUACACGCAGAACUUGACAAUACAUACAGGCUAGACAGAGAAAGAACACACAAUACAGCUAGGACAUACAUUACAUAUACAUUCAUGCAGUUAUUGUUGGUUUUUGAGCACUCUAACACUCCUAAGUGUACAUGCAACCCUAAAUACCUUGGAUCUAUGUUUUCUCUAUUAUACAUGCAAAUAUGAACUUUCGAAGGUAUUCAUCCUAACUAGCAUAAUAAUAUGAUUCAUAUGAAUAUAUAUCAAUUUACAAUUACAUACCUCUUUAAUGUAGAAAGUAUUCAUGAAGCUUGACUUCCUAGUACCCCAAGUGUGACACCUCAAAUGGUUCACACAACACCAGAUACACUUGGAAUAACUUGAGAGAAACUUGUACACUCCUUGAAAUCGUCUAGCCCUCACACUCACACAUAGUGCACGAGUUAUUGAACCAUGGUAUUCUUUUAUAUGGUGGUUGUUAGGGUUACACCAUGUAACUCAUGACUUUACCUAUUCCUUAUGCUCCAUGGAUUUUAACCUCCAUGGAGUAUCCAUGGGUCACCCCAUGCACUUAGUCCAACACAAGGAAUCUUGGAUCACAAGCCCACAUAUAUAAUAAUGAAUGAUUUACACAAUCAACCCAUAUAUUUAAUUACUCUCCUUUUGAUCACUUAAUUAAUUCCAAAUUAAUUCUUGAUCAAUACCAAUUAAAUAACCUUAUUAAUAUAUUAGAACUUAUAAUAUAUUAACAAACCUUAAGUGUUAUUUCUCUCAUUUUAGUCUAUCCAAAUGCAUGAUGCCAUGCAACCCAAAUGGACCAUGUCGGGUCGGGUCAAGUCUUACCAAUUAUAGUUAUGGACAUAGACAUUAAUCCAACAGUCUCCCACUUGGAUAAGUCUAAAACUAUUACUGCGUAUGACUUCAAGAACCGACUGGCAAUCGUAGCUCUCAAAAGCUUCUGUCGAACUCUGACCUUGUAGAUGAACUCUGACCUUUGUCAAUGACUUGUCCAUUAGAUAAGGGAUCAUAUAUUCCUCCAUUCUAGAUAUCAUAUGGACUGAGACAUGGAUUAUAAUCAUUCUCUCUGUCCAUUUGUUGUUUCCCGAUUUCCGAUUUAUGACGACUGACUAAUUGAACAAAUCAAAUCAGUCCUGGCCCGGCCGAGCACUUCCAUUUGUCAUCAUCAAAUCAUCGAGGGGCCCACAGAUAUCGCUUUUAUCCCGAAGGUAAAAGGAACGGAUAAACUUCGACUCAUAUGGCUUGUUCUACUACUUGUUGAAUCAUACACAAAGGCACGUUUUAUAGCACCGAGUUACCAAAUGCGUUUUCGUGCAAUCAAUGUACAACCAACUCAUAGUAACAACUCAUAUCUCUAGGUUUGAAGAAUAUAAGAUAUUAUCGUCUCAUGAUCACUCGUGAUAAAAUCCAUGAAGUGAUUCCAAUGAGCGCGGGUUGAAUCCAAUACUCAGAACUUAUGAGC
rnacentral:lncRNA from 1 species